AGAGAUAUAGCUCAGUGGUAGAGUACUUGACUAGCAGAUAUGAGACCCUGGGCUCAAUCCCCUGUAACUAUA
rnacentral:tRNA from 1 species